CAGCAGAACUGUAGGACAGAGGAUGCUGACACAACCCAUGCUGAAGGCCAUGUCUCAACAGGAGGACCUUAGUUCCAGAGGGACCUAGACUACCUGUUCUCCCCUGACUUCCCAAUGUUAAUGAAAACCCAGUACAUGGUAAGUCUUUGAUAAUCCUUGUAGAAUGGAUGAAUAAACUAUUUUGUUCUCAGGCUGGAAUUUGAUUCCUCAAAUGACAUACUAUAUUUUUUGGGCCUUUUUUUCCCCAUUAAAUUAUGCCAUGACACAUAAAUAUUUUUUCUUUCAUUUUCACCUACUUCUAGGGUUUGUUUUUUUUUUUUUUUGGUUUGGUUUAUUUUUGCUUUGUUUUCCCAAACAGAGUAAUGAAAAGGCUGAGUAGAGCUGCUUUUAAAAGUUGAAGUGCCCUGGGCCAGUCUCAGAUUGUACUUUGCUUGGGCACCUGUGGGUUAGUUUCAGAAGAAGAGGAAGAAGACAGAUUUUUCACAAAUUGUGAUCAUCCCAUAUCUCUUUGUCUUUCUUCUCCAUCUCCCAGACCUCCAUUACACAGAGUUCAAUAGUUAUGAAUCCUUGAGGCUUCUGCUAAAUCCAUUUGUUGGGUAGUAUCCUCUCUCAGCCAUGUUCUGCUUGUCAUUUCUUAAAUUUUCCCAAGGCUUUGUGGUCUGGUAAGUUGAUUUGUUGGAGAAAGAAGAAUGUUCUUGCUUAAAAUACUUAAAAUUCAGGAGAUUGUUCUGAACAAAUUUUCUUGGCAAUGGAGAAAAUAGAUGCUGUAAAAAUUCUAAUUUGUUUCUCUAAUUCCAACAAAUUCAUUGGUGUUCAUCUGAAAGCACCCUGCAGAUUAUAACGACUGUGUCACCCCUUCAUAGGAAAGGCAUAUUGACUUGAAUAGGAUAUUCAGUGAUAGGCAGCCUUUGUCAAUAUCUCAGGCAUUCAUUCUUAUUUGAGGCUGGUGAUAGUUAUUAAUUUAUUUCUUGAGGCACAACAUCACUAUUCAGUCAUUUGGUUUAUAAUAAAAAAUAGCAACAAGUAUCAUUAAAAUGGGCUGACAUGAGCUCACUCCUUGCCCAGGUGGCCUCACAAUUCAUGGUGGGGGUAGGUUGGGAUAGGAGAGUCUUUCUUUCAAAUUCCCAGAGAAAGGAAUUCCUGAACGCUUCUGGCUAAUUAGCGCAACACAUAGAAAAGAAAGUUUAUUACUAAACUCUAGAAAAGACUCCUGGUUUUUUUGAUCCUGUUUAGUAAAAAAACCAAAUAGUUCAAAGAGUUUCUUCUCAAUAAAUGGUGUUUUGAUGAUGGCCAGUGUUCAUUAAAUAAGUCCAUUGCACAACUAGUCCACUUCCAUUUAACUUUUCUGUGUGCAUUUGAGUUUAUUUUGCUUUAAAUGCAGUGAUUUAGGAGAUUAGGUAAACUGAUCUGCAGACUCUUCUUAAAUAGUAUCUUUCUCACUAAAAUGUCAGGUGUGCCAAAAUCCUGCCCAAUGUUCACAUGUUCAAAAUAGCUUCUUAUAAUACAAAGAUACAGAAUUCUCCAGCAAUAAAGUAUCUGGUUUAUGAAAAUUGUUCAAUUACAUGAUGCAGGAGUUUUCCAGCCCCAAAAUCUUUGGGUGUCAUGAAAAAUUUCUUAUAAUGGGAUAGAGGUAGUUUUUAAAAAUAAUUUACUCUUGUUUUCUUCUUAUUAAUAUACUCUAUGUUGAUUAGAGAAAACUUUGAAAAUAUAGAGCUGAACACAUAAGAAAAAAAAAUACCCACAAUCUCACUGUACAGAGCUAACUACUGAGAAUAUUUCAUAUACACCCUUCCAGCAUUCCAGCAUUUUUAUAUAUAUUCAUAUAUACAUACUUUUAAUUUAGGAAUUUUUCAUUCUACAUGAUAUUUUGUCUUCUGCUUUCUUAACCUAACAAUGUUUUUCAAACAAUAUACCAUGUCCUAAGAUAUUCCUUUGGUCUGCAAUGUUUUUAUUUUUAAUGAUUUCAUAGUCAUUAUUUUUAAUGAUUUUAUAAUAAUAAGCUAAUGCUUAUUAAAUAUUUACUGUGUGCCAGUCACCACUUUCAUUUAUUUAAACCUUAUGACAGUUCUAUAUGGCAGAUAAUAUUAUUGACUCCAUUUUAAAGAUGAAGAAACCAAGACACAGAGAGGGUAAGUUACUUACCCAAAAUAAUAUGCCUUCUUUUUUGGAGCGUUUUGGUUGUUUGUCGUGCUUUUUUUUCUGUAAUAAAUAAAUCUAUACACACAAAA